rnacentral:lncRNA from 1 species
CCGGUGACUGCAUCCAUCACAACGGUGGAAAAGGAGCAAGGAACGGUCCGCACCCAAAUCUCUCCCGAUUAGUUAGCUAAUAGAUUAAACCAAAGCAAGAACAAUUUAAUUGGCACAAUUAAUCCAGUGCACGACAAUUUUAAUCUUAAAUAAUUCAAUUACUAAAUCCAAAAAAAUCUCCACCAUACACAGAGCCUCAUUCUCCAGCUUACACGUGUCCUUCUCCCCUACAAAGAUUUUUCCUCCCACCGCCUCGCCUUCUACUACAUAAACCCGUC